rnacentral:rRNA from 1 species
UAGGGAUUCCUCGGUAGCGGCGAGCGACCAGGGAUUAGCCCGCCACUGAAUCCUGUACCUUUCGGUAUUGGGAGUUGUAGUGGAUAGGAUUGUAUCUUCGAUGGUCGAGUUAGUAUCAAGUUCACUUGAAUGUGACACCAGAGAGGGUGGUAGUCCCGUACAUACUGACGAGAUUGUUAAUGAUACUUUCUAAUGAGUAGGAUUGUUUGGGAAUGCAGUCCGAAUUGGGAGGUAGAUUCCUUCUAAGGCUAAAUACUUGUCUGAGUCCGAUAGAGAACAAGUAGCGUGAGCGAAAGUUGAAAAGAACUCUGAAGAGAGAGUUAAAUAGCACGUGAAAUCGCUUAGAGGUAAACGAGUAGAGCCGAAGGUUGGUGUAUUGAAUUCAGUUAUUUGACUGGUGCAGUUGGUAGUUGUAAAUCUGUAAAGUUUACUUCGAUUGACUCGUUAUCAGUUGAGUGGUGCACUUUCUGUACAUCAAAUAUGCGACCAAUACUUAACUCUUCUGUCGUUAAAAUGAAGUUAUCCUUAUCUUCGGAUUUGGUAUUAUAGCUUUUAGCAUGGUUGAGUUUGGCAUUGGUGACAGUGAUCAAUUGUUGGUAGCGUUUUAGCUAUGUGAGAAGUAUUUUAUUAGACUUUUUAAGACUAGUUUAAUGCUUUUUGCGUGGCUAUUAUCUACCUGAUUGGUGCAAAGUCAGCAUGGUUUAUGUAGGCAGUCUACUUGUCCCGUCUUGAAACACGGACCAAGGAGUUUUUUAUACUUGCAAGUCAAAGGGUCCUACGAAACCCCACGGCGCAAUGAAAGUGAAGCAUAUCUGAUAUGUGAGAUGUGACCUCGAGGCAACCCCUCAGAGUGCAACAUCGCCCUGCUCGAAUAUCCGCGGAUAUGGGCAGAGGAAUAGCAAGUAUGAAGAGACCCGAAAGAUGGUGAACUUUGGUUGAGCAGGUUGAAGUCAGAGGAAACUCUGAUGGAGGACCGAAGCAGUUCUGACGUGCAAAUCGAUUGUCAGACUUGACCAAAGGGGCGAAAGACUAAUCGAACCAUCUAGUAGCUGGUUCCCUCCGAAGUUUCCCUCAGGAUAGCUGGUACUAGAAUAGUUAUAUCCGGUAAAGCGAAUGAUUAGAAGUACCGGGGGAUAAACUCUCUCGACUUAUUCUCAAACUUUAAAUGGGUAUGAUGUAUUGCUUGCUUCAGUGAAUGUAAUACGGUUGAUAAUAGUACUUAGUGGGCCAUUUUUGGUAAGCAGAACUGGCGAUGUGGGAUGAACCAAACAUCUAGUUAAGGUGCCUAAUUCAUGCUCAUGAGACACCACAAAAGGUGUUGGUUGAUAAAGACAGCAGGACGGUGGACAUGGAAGUCGUCACCCGCUAAGGAGUGUGUAACAACUCACCUGCCGAAUCAACCAGCCCUGAAAAUGGAUGGCGCUGUAGCAUGGAACCUAUACUAGAUCAACAAGGUAAGCAAAAUGCGAGUACGCCUUGUUGUGUAGGAGGGCGCCGUGAUAGCAUAGAAGCUACCCGGGUAACUGGGGGUGGAGCUGUUACGGGUGCAGAUCUUGGUAGUACG